ACCCGCUGAACUUAAGCAUAUCAAUAAGCGGAGGAAAAGAAACCAACAGGGAUUGCCUUAGUAACUGCGAGUGAAGCGGCAAAAGCUCAAAUUUGAAAUCUGGUGCCUUCGGCGCCCGAGUUGUAAUUUGGAGAGACAUCUUCGGAGUAGACGCCGUCCUAAGUUCCUUGGAACAGGACGUCACAGAGGGUGAGAAUCCCGUGCCUGGAUGGCUGUUCUACUUCAUGUGAAGUGUCUUCGACGAGUCGAGUUGUUUGGGAAUGCAGCUCAAAAUGGGAGGUAAAUUUCUUCUAAAGCUAAAUAUUGGCGAGAGACCGAUAGCGCACAAGUAGAGUGAUCGAAAGAUGAAAAGCACUUUGAAAAGAGAGUUAAAAAGUACGUGAAAUUGUUGAAAGGGAAGCGCUUGAGACCAGACUCGACCAGUGGUGAUCAGCGGUGCUUCUGUGCCGUGCACUUGCCAUUGGUUGGGCCAGCAUCGGUUUGGACGGCGGGAUAAAGACCUAAGGAAUGUGGCUCCCUCCGGGGAGUGUUAUAGCCUUGAGUGCAAUGCCGCCAGUCUGGACCGAGGACCGCGCUUCGGCUAGGAUGCCGGCGUAAUGGUCUU
rnacentral:rRNA from 1 species